rnacentral:rRNA from 1 species
UACGGAGGGGGCGAGCGUUAUUCGGAAUUAUUGGGCGUAAAGGGCGCGUAGGCGGCGUGCUAAGUCGAACGUGAAAUCCCCGGGCUCAACCCGGGAACUGCGUCCGAGACUGGCAGGCUUGAAUCCGGGAGAGGGAUGUGGAAUUCCAGGUGUAGCGGUGAAAUGACGUAGAUAUCAGGAGGAACACCGGUGGCGAAGGCGGUUCUCUGGGCCUUACCUGACGCUGAGGAGCGAAAGCGUGGGGAGCGAACAGG